rnacentral:rRNA from 1 species
AACGAACGCUGGCGGCAUGCCUAACACAUGCAAGUCGAACGAACCCUUCGGGUUAGUGGCGCACGGGUGCGUAACGCGUGGGAAUCUGCCCUUUGCUUCGAAUAACAGUUAGAAAUGACUGCUAAUACCGGAUAAUGUCUUCGGACCAAAGAUUUAUCGGCAAAGGAUGAGCCCCGCGUAGGAUUAGCUAGUUGGUGGGGUAAAAAGCUCACCAAGGCGACGAUCCUUAGCUGGUCUGAGAGGAUGAUCAGCCACACUGGGACUGAGACACGGCCCAGACUCCUACGGGAGGCAGCAGUGGGGAAUAUUGGACAAUGGGCGAAAGCCUGAUCCAGCAAUGCCGCGUGAGUGAUGAAGGCCUUAGGGUUGUAAAGCUCUUUUACCAGGGAUGAUAAUGACAGUACCUGGAGAAUAAGCUCCGGCUAACUCCGUGCCAGCAGCCGCGGUAAU